rnacentral:rRNA from 1 species
UGAGGAAUAUUGGUCAAUGGCCGGGAGGCUGAACCAGCCAAGUAGCGUGCAGGAUGACGGCCCUCGUGGUUGUAAACUGCUUUUAGUCGGGAAUAAAAGGGGGUUCGUGAACCCCGUAUUGUAUGUACCGUCAGAAAAAGGACCGGCUAAUUCCGUGCCAGCAGCCGCGGUAAUACGGAAGGUCCGGGCGUUAUCCGGAUUUAUUGGGUUUAAAGGGAGCGUAGGCGGGCCGUUAAGUCAGUUGUGAAAGUUCGGGGCUCAACCCCGGAAUUGCAGUUGAAACUGCCGGUCUUGAGUACACGCAGGGAAGCCUGAAUUCAUGGUGUAGCGGUGAAAUGCUUAGAUAUCAUGAAGACGACCGAUCGCGAAGGCAGGUUUCCGGAGUGUAACUGACGCUGAGGCUCGAAAGUGCGGGUAUCAAACAGG